rnacentral:rRNA from 1 species
UAGCGGGGGGGCAAGCGUUGUUCGGAAUUACUGGGCGUAAAGGGCUCGUAGGUGGCCAACUAAGUCAGACGUGAAAUCCCUCGGCUUAACCGGGGAACUGCGUCUGAUACUGGAUGGCUUGAGUUUGGGAGAGGGACGCGGAAUUCCAGGUGUAGCGGUGAAAUGCGUAGAUAUCUGGAGGAAUACCGGUGGCGAAGGCGGCAUCCUGGACCGACAUUGACGCUGAACGGCGAAAGCUAGGGGAGCAAACGGG